CUUUUUCUUUUCUUUUUUUUUGAGAGAGAUAGGUAGCACGCUAUCCGCUUCGUUUAUUUCAUUUAAAAAUAAACUUAACUAGAAAUGUGAAUCAACUAGGAUUCGAACUUGGGUCUCGGGUACCAACAACCAAGCCCUUUACCACUUGCUCUAGGGACAGUCAGUUAAAAGGGCCUAUUGUCAACCAUUGAAUUUUCUCAGAUAACUCUCUGUUCUCUCCCUUUUUAAAAUUUUAUUGUGAACCUAUUUAAAGAAUGACAAACCAUUUCAUAUCUUAAUUUUAUCUGUAUAAUUUCAUAUGCCUUGAUAUCUUGAAGAUGCUCUCUGCAAAUAACUAAUCCUAGCUAAAUACGCUUAGGCCCUGUUUGGAUGCAUAGUUAAAAAACUCCAUGGAAUUUUUAUUCUAUGGUUUUGGUCUAAAUGAAAUACGGAAUCCUGUAACUACAAAAAAAUUCCACAGCUUCAUUUUUAAGCUGUUUGGAUACAUAUCAUACAAUUCCACAGUAUUUAUAACAAUUAAAUUUCUAAAAUUUUAUAAUUCAAAAUUCAAACCUCAAAAUUCAAAAUUCAAAAUUCAAAAUUUAAAAAUAAAAUUUUAAAAAUUAAAAAUAAAAAUUCAAAAUAUAAAAUUAAAAUUUAAAAUUUAAAAUUUAAAAAGUAAAUUAGAUUUUAUGUUUUAAAUUU
rnacentral:lncRNA from 1 species